rnacentral:tRNA from 1 species
UAGCUUAGAUGGUAAAGCGUCUGCCUACAAUGUGGGAGACCCAGGUUAGAUCCCUGG